rnacentral:rRNA from 1 species
CAGUCGAACGAUGAUGCCCAGCUUGCUGGGUGGAUUAGUGGCGAACGGGUGAGUAACACGUGAGUAACCUGCCCUUGACUUCGGGAUAACUCCGGGAAACCGGGGCUAAUACCGGAUAUGAGCCGCCUUCGCAUGGGGGUGGUUGGAAAGUUUUUCGGUCAGGGAUGGGCUCGCGGCCUAUCAGCUUGUUGGUGGGGUGAUGGCCUACCAAGGCGACGACGGGUAGCCGGCCUGAGAGGGCGACCGGCCACACUGGGACUGAGACACGGCCCAGACUCCUACGGGAGGCAGCAGUGGGGAAUAUUGCACAAUGGGCGAAAGCCUGAUGCAGCGACGCCGCGUGAGGGAUGAAGGCCUUCGGGUUGUAAACCUCUUUCAGCAGGGAAGAAGCGCAAGUGACGGUACCUGCAGAAGAAGCGCCGGCUAACUACGUGCCAGCAGCCGCGGUAAUACGUAGGGCGCAAGCGUUGUCCGGAAUUAUUGGGCGUAAAGAGCUCGUAGGCGGUUUGUCGCGUCUGGUGUGAAAACUCGAGGCUCAACCUCGAGCUUGCAUCGGGUACGGGCAGACUAGAGUGCGGUAGGGGAGACUGGAAUUCCUGGUGUAGCGGUGGAAUGCGCAGAUAUCAGGAGGAACACCGAUGGCGAAGGCAGGUCUCUGGGCCGCAACUGACGCUGAGGAGCGAAAGCAUGGGGAGCGAACAGGAUUAGAUACCCUGGUAGUCCAUGCCGUAAACGUUGGGCACUAGGUGUGGGGGCUCAUUCCACGAGUUCCGUGCCGCAGCAAACGCAUUAAGUGCCCCGCCUGGGGGAGUACGGCCGCAAGGCUAAAACUCAAAGGAAUUGACGGGGGCCCGCACAAGCGGCGGAGCAUGCGGAUUAAUUCGAUGCAACGCGAGAAACCUUACCAAGGCUUGACAUGCACGAGAAGCCACCAGAGAUGGUGGUCUCUUUGGACACUCGUGCACAGGUGGUGCAUGGUUGUCGUCAGCUCGUGUCGUGAGAUGUUGGGUUAAGUCCCGCAACGAGCGCAACCCUCGUCCCAUGUUGCCAGCGGGUUAUGCCGGGGACUCAUGGGAGACUGCCGGGGUCAACUCGGAGGAAGGUGGGGAUGACGUCAAAUCAUCAUGCCCCUUAUGUCUUGGGCUUCACGCAUGCUACAAUGGCCGGUACAAAGGGCUGCGAUACCGUAAGGUGGAGCGAAUCCCAAAAAGCCGGUCUCAGUUCGGAUUGGGGUCUGCAACUCGACCCCAUGAAGUCGGAGUCGCUAGUAAUCGCAGAUCAGCAACGCUGCGGUGAAUACGUUCCCGGGCCUUGUACACACCGCCC